UACGUAGGGGGCAAGCGUUAUCCGGAUUUAUUGGGUUUAAAGGGUGCGUAGGCGGACGCUUAAGUCAGCGGUAAAAAUUCGGGGCUCAACCCCGUCGUGCCGUUGAAACUGAUGUUCUUGAGUGGGCGAGAAGUAUGCGGAAUGCGUGGUGUAGCGGUGAAAUGCAUAGAUAUCGCGCAGAACUCCGAUUGCGAAGGCAGCAUGCCGGCUCCACACUGACGCUGAGGCCCGAAAGCGUGGGUAUCGAACAGG
rnacentral:rRNA from 1 species